rnacentral:rRNA from 1 species
AACGUAGGACACAAGCGUUAUCCGGAGUUACUGGGCGUAAAGGGCGCGUAGGCGGCCUACUAAGUCAGACGUGAAAUCCCCCGGCUUAACCUGGGAACUGCGUCUGAUACUGGAAGGCUUGAGGAUGGGAGAGGGAUGUAGAAUUCACGGUGUAGCAGUGAAAUGCGUAGAGAUCGUGAGGAAGACCAGUGGCGAAGGCGGGUCUCUGGACAGUUCCUGACACUGAGGCACGAAGGCCAGGGGAGCAAACGGG